rnacentral:tRNA from 1 species
GGAUCCUUAGCUCAGUUGGUAGAGCAUCUCACUUUUAAUGAGAGGGUCGAUGGUUCGAGCCCAUCAGGAUCCA